rnacentral:rRNA from 1 species
GACGAACGCUGGCGGCGUGCCUAAUACAUGCACGUAGAACGCAGUUGCGAACGGGUGAGUAACGCGUAGGUAACCUGCCUCAUCGCGGGGGAUAACUAUUGGAAACGAUAGCUAAUACCGCAUACUAUUAGAUGGACCUGCGUUGUAUUAGGUAGUUGGUGAGGGAAAGGCUCACCAAGGUGACGAUACAUAGCCGACCUGAGACGGUGAUCUGCCAACCUGGGACUUAGACACGGCCCAUACUCCUACGGGAGGCAGCAGUAGGGAAUCUUCGGCAAUGGACGGAAGUCUGACCGAGAAACGCCGCGUGAGUGAAGAAGGUUUUCGGAUCGUAAAGCUCUGUUGUUAGAGAAGCGGUAACUAAACAGAAAGGGACGGCUAACUACGUGCCAGCCGCCGCGGUAAUUC